CGGGACUGCUCAGAAGCCACGGGAGAAGUCAAUUCAAUGUAAUCGACACCAAAGUUGUCCAAUGCCUUAGCAAUUUGAAUUUUCUUCUCGGUGUCGAAAAAAGCGUUUGCGAAUUGCUCACCUUCACGAAGAGUAGACUCAAUAAUGGAAAAGUUAUUGACACGUGAAAGAAAAUCAGAUGGGUUGGGACCAUAAGGGUUUCCAUUCAUAGGAGGCUUGAUGGUCUCAGUACCAUUAGCUUCGGACACAGACAUGUUGAUGACUUUAAAAUGCAAAAAAAGGAAAAGGAAAAGCGAAUUUUCUAAAAUGAAUUAAGUAUAAAUAUAUAAAUUAUACAAUUCAACAACUUAUUGUCCCGAAACCUGUUAGCUUUGAAUUUUUUAAGCUAAAUCUUUUAUCACUGUAGAGGAGACAACUAAGAGCAAGGAUGCACGUAUGUAUGAAUUUCAAAAAAUUCGACCCUACCCUAUUUAUUUACUGAAAGAAACAGUCACUACCAACUCGUAGGCAACCGCGGUAAUUUAUGGUAGAAAAUUGA